AUUCUCUCUUUUCUUUUGUUCGCUUUCCGGUUUCCCUUAUUUUCUAUUUGCUGCAGUAAAUGAGACUGGGAGUGGGAUUUCCUUUAUAACUUUCGCUCCGUUGAUCGAUCAACAAUUCACUUCUUUAGGAAGGAGCUGAGAGGGUUCAGACCGGGGUGAUUUCACGAGUAGAUGGCCCGGCAUUCAAGCAAUCAAUCAUU
rnacentral:lncRNA from 1 species